UGGCUCUGGGAAGCGUUUUGCAGUUUGUAGGACUGCGAGCGGAGGGGCUCGGCGUGCGAUGCCUUACUUCCUCGUCAGUGCUACUGGACGAGUCGUGUCGCAUCGCUUGCAGCCGCCUGCUGCUCGAAACCAUAGAUGCAGUCUGAGGCGAAAUUCUCUCCGAUGGAGGAAUAUUGGAGGCGGAAGGCGUCGGAAGGGACGUGACUGGAGACGCUCUUUGGACGACCCAGUCCUCGGCUCGGAAGCCUUGGUGCAUUGCUGGCGAUCUGACCAUGCCUGGGGUGGAAGCGUCCCCUUGCUCAACGGCUGAAGAUGAAUACAAAGUAAGGUUGUAGUGAAAGACGCGGAUUUGACACUUUUGUGUGACUCACCACCGUGUCUGUGUUGUUUCCUGCGGGGCGGCUUUGUCACAGGAAUGCCAGCUUCAUUUUUAGAGGGGGAUGGGGUGUUCGGCAAGUCUAGCUUGAAGCCACGUUUGGCCUUUGUUCGCUCUUCUUCUCCCCACGGAGCUGGCGGCUGGGCCACUUGCUGGAGCCUGAUUUUCAUUAUCGUAAUUAGCAUACGGAUUUCCAUAAACUCUAGUCUAAAUUAUUGUGUGAUUUUGAGCAUUAAGAGGUAUGGUAUAUUUAUCAAGGGCAUUUUUAAAAUUUUUAGCUUAGAUGUUAGCCAAUUAUUUUCAUUCGACUUGGGAAUUAUAAGUUUUAUCAAGGUAUUUUAUUAAGACAUUUACGUGGGCUGUUGGUCAACAGCUGAAACGUCAAGUGGUGGUUUUUGUUUAGAUUUUGCGCUGGUCUGAGGUGAGGAAUGGGCUUGGUCAGCAUCAGCCGCCGAACUUCCUUGCAGACUGUAACUGCGUUAACCCCAAACCAAAAACACAUAAAUAUAGUUGCAUUCCCUUUUUUACACCAAUUAAUUCACCUUCCUUGGCUGCUACUACUCUCUGCGCUAGGUGAACUUGGCGAGGCAGUCUCGGCCGGCGCUUUAGGCGUACCCUCAAUCAGAUCAGGCCGAGGGGUCGGCGUGGAAUCACCGCCAACAGGCUCAGCCAACGGCACCUUCAAUCAUAAAUGUGCUCGAGUUGGUUCAAUUGAAUCGCGAAAGGCAAUUGUUUCGUGCUUUCUACGCUACCCGCUACUUUGAACUAAUAAAUAUAUUUUUUAAAUAGAGACCAAAGUCUCACCUGCUCCUCAUCUUUGCUCUGCAUCGAUGAUGCACUUUCAAAAGAGCUUCCCCCCUCACCCAGGUUGCUUGAAGAGGUUCCUGAGGGUUCAUGCUGUCCAUCAGGCUACAACAUUCAUGCACAACGCUCACGUUACAUUUAUGCAAAGGUGGGUGAAGCAUUUGAAGAUAGAGGUAUAUUAUGCAUUGUUUGUCCAAAUUCGUUUCGUCGUCGUGGAUAUAGAAUAUUUGCAGCAGGAAAUGCAGGAUUUUAAAAAGCUUGGAAGUUGAUUUCUGUAAGGACGAUAAGAAGAAAUAAGUUUCUAGAAAAAUUUACACUGUUUUCAAAAAGUGCAGCUCAAGUUAAAAUAUUCCAGAAAGUGUGCCUUUAUCUACCCUUGAACUAUAUAUAUUUGGUUAUAUUUGAACUAAUAGUAUGAUGACAAAGAUUAACAAUAUACAGUGAGUACACACCAAAAACAAAAAUUAAAUAUACAGACCCUCUGCAACCUUGAGCUGGAGUCGGUCGCGCCGGAAUUGUCUGUGGCUGUGAUAUAAUCUUCAGAAGUCUCUGAAACGUCUAAACACGCGGUUGAAGGUCUUAAGAGAGACGGAGAGUGACGUGGCGAUGCUUUAUUUGAAUAUGGCGAGGAAACUGUUUUGGGUGGCUGCGGUGACGGAGAUUUCCUUUAAAAAUAUUUAUUUAAUUUUGGCUGGUGAUUUUCUUUGGUAUUCACAAACCUGCUUUCUGAAAUACUUUUUGCGAUCCUGUCCUCUUCGACCAAAUCUGGCUGCUGGCUGACGACCAAAAUACCGCGCUUUUGAAUGGUACCAUUUGACAUUUCUGACAUGCUGCCCAUCGUUUCUGGGUCCGAGUUGUUGACUCCGAUGACGGUCGCUUGCGAUUCCCGCCAAGUGUUUUGCUGGCUGCCUGUAUAGCCACUGACUGACAGCGAGUCACAGGAAGAGCCUCCAGUUUGCUUACUUGUGUCUGGCAGAAGUAGCAAACCUAAAAAAAUGCUUCAUUAAAUUUAUAACUGAAAAAAUUAAAAUAAAUAACCUGAGGUGUUUAUCACAGUUGCUGGCUGACUUUGUGGUCUUCUUUCGCCUUCUUCAACUCCUUUAUCGUCGGAGAACUCUGAAUCUUCAGAACGACCUAUUGAUCGGCCAUCGAGGGAAAGUCUUCGUUUUCCAAAAAGCCCCUCACAAUGUUUUCGUGAAACUCUUCUUCGUCCAAUAAAGAGGACGAACUAAACAUACUGCCAUUGGUGCCAUCAGUGCCUUCGGAAGAUUUCUUUGCAAGUGCCAGGGGCGGUGAACCUUCAGGGGAGGUCGGAUCAAAAUGCCGCCCAUACAGUUCUGCGUCCUCCACCGUUGCCGAAGACUCACAUUGCUGUAAUAAAAAGAUCAAAAAUGUUUAUAGGUGAAUUUGGUAUGCAACCUGCGCGACGAGAGUGCUGCACCGGUUGCAUCGAUUCAAAUUUCGAUUGCCCAUAUAACACAAUUGAGAAACUUACCCUGUCAAUGUAAUCAGAAUGUUGGAUCCGUCUUCUCUCGAGCAAAAUCUCGCCUUCGGACAAAGUUUUGUGCAGGGGUCUUUUGGCCUUUGGCGAUGGCUGGGGCGAAACCUUGUUGGGGUUGGGCUCAAAAUCUAUGAAAAUCUCUUUGUAGCGCGGUGACAAGUCCCUCUUCUCGAGGCUCUGAUGUACCGAGAAUAAUGUCUGCUAAUUAAUGCGAGCGACACUUGGAUGCACUCAAAAUCGCACCUUGUGCCUCAUGGACGGCUGCGCCGACUGCGAUCUCUGCAUGUAGGGCCGCUCUUUAAACACGUGCUCGUCGUCGUCAGCGCUGUCUUGAAUUUGCUCCCAGCCUGAAGUGCUGCCAGAUAUACAAGAUAUGUCGGACGCUUGCGACUGAGCGGCCGUGCUGCCACCGCACGAGGCAGAGUAGCUCUUUGGCGUUCUGUACAUUAAAGAGAUGUCAACAGUCGUAAAAUGAGAUUAAGUAAGCGAACCGUGGCCCACAAACGUUGGAGUGUAUUGGAGGCGCGUGCUUUUUCGUUUAGUGGGAGAGGAAAAGUUCCAUAAGUGGCAAAAUUAUUUUACGUGCAGAAACUUUUAUAUUACGGUUUCCUCCUACGAAAAAAUAAAAACUUAAUUUGAAACACAUGUUAUGAUUCAAACAAAAAGUUUAAAUUGAAUUGUCAGAGCACUAGAGACAGAUCGAAAUUCGAUUCCAGGGCACUAAAAUAUCGCGUUACGUAAUGACCGGCCGCAAAUUUCCCCAAACGAAGGGAACAAACAAAAUUUGCAAACAACAGCCGUAAAUCGUAUACCUUACUUCUACCGGAGUUUCCACUAGACCUGGCACAAGUUUGGCCAUUAUCGGCUUCGGAAAUCGAGAAGCAAUAAAUACCUCGUUCGCUGGGCUUGCGUUGAUUUGUGCAUGGAGCGAGGGCUGAGUGACAAAUAGCCGUGCUGGUGGUGGUGAUGGUGGUGGUGUCGUUUUUCUCUGGGCGGCUUCUGCACCACGGCUGGCAGUGGCAGCUCCGUCUGGGUGGCCUGGGUCUUCAUGGUCGCCCUCUUCAGCUUCUCUGUCAACAGCACAGCCACCGCAGAGUGAGAAAAGAUACUUUCGGCGGCUUGCAAGUAAGUACGGUUGAAUUUAAUUCACACUCACUCCCGCAAGUCCCGAGAGGACCGCAAAUUAAUUCAAAUGCUCUGGCCGAGCCCAUGCUAAUGAAAAAGACGUAGAUUAUGCAAUUUCGCCGCUUACCCAUGAUCACAGUCUUUUUGGCCGGUGACUCCUCCUCGUGCGUGAAGCAGUGAACCGACGCCUUUUUCGGUUUGAUCAUCGGCCCGUCCAGAAGACGCUCCUGACUCUUAGCCAAUCUCCACCUGGCGGACGCGGAAGACUCUUCGAAGCUGGAGGUAGUUUGCGAACGGACUAGACCACUCCUGUGCUCCAUGAAACUGACGUGUUUGCUCCCUCUCCUCUCAUCAAUGUCCUGAUUUACAAUAUUCAACUUUUGAUAUGAGCAAAAGAAAGCUUUUGCAAACGCUGGACUAAUGGAAACGAGUUUUCUUUUGGCUUUGUAGUUGAAAAGAGCUAAUUCCAACUUUUAAUAAAAUUUUCAGCAAGCCAAAACUUGGCUUUUAGAGCUGGGAGCUGAAUAACAAAUCGUCGAGAGAGAUUAUAUUCGCGGGAGGGGGAGAGCGCGGAAGCGGAUAUCGCAUUAAGUAAACAGAGCAUAAGGGACAUUUCAUCUCCAUUUCACAUCCAGCCGGCGGACUAUAUCUGUGUGUCAAUUUAUUCCAUGUCGGGCCAACCGCCAUGCGGAGCGAGUCUGCCCAACUGAGAUCUGUGUAGCGGGUGCAUCCAAGCUAUGCAAAUUUAAUGGUGCUCACCAGCGCGUGUCCUUUCCUCGAGCUGAGCGGCGUGUUGGGCUCUGUGUGGUUGAAGCCACGCAUUCUGGCCUGCGCCUGUCUAAUCUGCUCCUCGGUGAUUUUCAUGUUGCCUUGCCCUAUGAGUCGACCGCCGCUGCCCUCGCCUGGCUUUUGGAAGUCCUGCGUCGGAAAUCCAGCGAUGGGAAUCGGUCGUGGGCGUUCCUGUGUGCGCCGCGUUUGUGUUAGAAGUGGCUCGACUUUUUCUGCAGUCUACAUUUACGUUUUCGAGGAAAGUUUUAAAGUGGCGUAAUUGAUUCCGAAAAAGUUUUGCCAGCGAGUUAUUUUGAAUGGCUAUGCUAUUUACAUGAGUUUAGCGUGUUCAUGCUGACAAAAACUCGAGUUUUGUGUAAUGGAGGCAGUGCUUUUUGCUAAAGUAAUUUGACACACAUUUAGAGUGUAUGCGCCUGGUGGAUGUUUCAGUGAAAAAUAAAUCUGAUGGUGAAGAUGGAACACUGAUGAGAAAAAUAGUUUUAGUGGGAAUAAAAUUAACCCAAUUAAGUGUCUGUCCGGUUAAAAGCACAUCAAAGAGCUUGAUAAUGAACCGUGUAAAUAAGACGAGCUGAGAGUGUUUUAUCUUGUUGGAAAGUUAAUAAAGCCAAUGUACUCGGCCAAAGUAAAUUUUCUCCUGAGCCUCUCCGCGCUGCAGCAUUGCACAGAGAGACUAGCUAAUUCAACUGUGGUGGUGGGGAAAACGUCGCUUUUGCAUUUAACAAAGUCGGCAUGACAACAUUCACAAUUUCAUACCGAGACAUCUGUGCACAAAUACUUGGUAAAUGUUGAAGAUGGAAGGCAUGCGAAUGCGAACAGUUUCAAUGUUUUCCAUUGGAAAAUGAAAGAAGAGAAGCAACACUUUUGAACACUCUCGCGCACUCACCAAACUGAGGUAGGCUUCGUCGGCUUGUUCUGGUACCCACUGGUACCGGCCUCGUCCACCGCGUCCAGCCUGUUCGGACAUAGAAGUGGCAUGCCAGCACGACAUUGAGUAGGGUGGCCAGUCGAAUCGCCCAUUUUCGAGUAAAUAUCAAACAUUUUGCUAUGCUAAACACAUAUUUUCAUUUUUUUACACAUUCUUAAGCAAGGGGAAGAUGUUUGUUUAUUUUUGAAUUGGAAUGUUCAAGGCUCGGAAAGGAAUCAACUAUAUAGUCAUCUAAACAGGGAGUUUUUCUGAUAGUUUAAAUUGACUUUUGAGAAAAUGGACCCGAUGUAAUCGUCAGCCACUCCAACAAUGAGACAAGAGAGAGUUCACAGAGGACAGAGAGAAAAGGCGGAUAGAGUUAGCGUGCAAGAGAAUGUUCCCAAUGUUAGGAGGUACAUAUGUAUUAAUGGGUUUGCUUUGCUGUUUCAAGAUACAUAAUGAAAGUAAACGUUUCCGCUCAUUUCAUCAGCUCCAACUGGCAGCGGAAGCGCGCUAGUCGAGUGACUCAUCAGGCGUAAAUACGCGUAUUGAGAGCACAAAAGCACAACUCGCUGCGCCUACCUGGUUGGCGGGAGGAGGGGGAGCGGGGGGCAGAUCGGAGGCUCGCAGCGGCUUCUGGGGCCAGUACUGGGCCAU